UUGGCCAUCCCCCCUGAAUUGGCCCGUCCCCUGACUAAAUUACUUUUUUUUUCUGGCACAAAGACCCGCCUGUUUACUGUGGGGCCAGGCUGCCGGCCUCAAAAGCAUAGCAGCACCGCGGUCCCCCUGCUUGUACAACCUCAAAUAACAACCCCCCUCUCUCCCCCCUCAACGCUCACAUCCACACACAAAACAACUGCUUCCACAGACAAGCAACUGAAGCCAGAGAGUAGCAACUGCCUGCUUUCCUCAGAACAGACAGGGAAGAGCUCUGCUUGGCAAAGUUUGUGUGAGCACUACCUGGUGCCUGCCAGCUGUACACAGGACCAGCAGAAGCAGUGAAGAAUGAAGGCCCGGGACGAAGCCCCCGUGGAUCGAGGCUGGCUGGUGGGCAUCAUAUUCUUCAUCCUGGGCCUGGGGACGCUCCUACCAUGGAACUUCUUUAUGACCGCCACCAUGUACUUCCAGGAUCGUCUCAACACGUCCGUGUGGGUUAACGGCACUUCCGUGGCUCCGAAAGAGUACUACUUCAACAACUGGAUGACCCUGCUGUCCCAGGUUCCCCUGCUGCUUUUCACCUUCCUCAACUCCUUCCUGUAUCAACGUGUCUCGGAGAAGGUGCGGAUUACAGGCAGUCUCGUCUGCAUCCUCCUGCUCUUCAUCAUCACUGCUGCCCUGGUCAAGAUCCCCAUGGCAGACACAGACCGUUUCUUCUCCAUCACCAUGGCAACCAUCUGGUUCAUCAACUCGUUUGGGGCUGUGUUGCAGGGCAGCCUGUUUGGGCUGGUGGGGAUGCUCCCGCAGAAAUACAGCGCCGUGUUCAUGAGCGGCCAGGGCCUGGCCGGCACCUUCGCUGCUGUCGCCAUGCUGCUGUCCAUAUACAGUGAAGCCGGUAAGGAGUCGGCGGCGCUGGGCUACUUCAUCACCCCCUGUGUGGGCACCCUGAUCACGCUGCUGAGCUACAUGCUGCUGCCGCAUCUGGAGUUUGCACGGUUCUAUUUCAACAAAGGCAAGAACUACGAAGUGGAGACCAAGGACAAGCUCCUGGAAGGCAGCAAGGAAACGGUGGAUCCAGGGAACACUAAGCUGAACGGACACGCCAACGGCUCCGUGCCCAACAGCAACGGGUUGCUGGCGCACAACGGCCACAAGGCGGACGAGGCCGGGCAGGCCAUCAUCACGCUGGAGUUGGCCGACGCACAGGACAAGCUGUCCGUCAAGGAGGUCUUCAAGAAGAUUUGGGUGAUGGCGUUCUGCGUGACCUUCGUCUUCAUAGUCACACUGUCCGUGUUCCCCGCCAUCACAGUGGAAGUGAACACCCUGUACGAAGGAACAAAUUGGGAGGUCUACUUCAUCCCUGUGUGCUGCUUUCUCUUCUUCAACAUCAUGGACUGGCUCGGCAGAACCAUCACCACGGUGGUGCAGUGGCCCCGGAAGGAGAGCCGCCUGUUCCCGGCGCUGGUGGUCUCGCGCGUGAUUUUCAUCCCCCUGCUCAUGCUGUGCAACAUCAGGAACCACUACUACCUGCCGGCGCUGUUCCCCCACGACGCCGUCUUCUCUGUCAUCAUGCUGCUGUUCGCUGGCACCAGCGGGUACUGCGUGUGCCUGUCCAUGACCUACGCCCCGCAGCUGGUGGCUCCUAAAGAUGCAGAGACGGCCGGAACGUUGAUGACGUCCUUCCUCGCCCUGGGUCUCUCUGUGGGGGCCGCCCUCUCUUUCGCCCUCAGGCUGCUUGUGUAGGAGAACCCGCCCCUCUUCCACAGAGGGUCACCCCAUUGGCCAAGCAAGCAUUCGCCACACUUUCUCCACCAAUCACAAACACACUCCAUCGUCUCCACAAAAGUCUGAAGAACGUGGCAAGAAGACACUAGAGUUAGGGACAGGCAUGGUUACCUUUUAAAUAAUUAACUUCCCAUCGUCAAAGUGCAUUCCUCAAGACCUGCAAAAUAAAGGGAGAGAAGUAUUCGUUUUUUAAAAAUAUGAACAUUGUAACGUCUGGAAAGGUCAAUCGUGCAGCAAUUUCCCCGGCAAUUAUACAAAAAAGCCUCUGUCUCCACAUGCCCACCGUCUCCUCAAAUCACGGAUGCACACCUCGGCCUCCACCAACCGUAAACGUGCGCUGCUCCACCAAUCCGAAGGACAGUACAGAAAAUCGUGGCAUUAUAAGAGUAAGUCUCUGAUGACUGACAGGCAUGUUAGCCUGACUGACCUGCUGAAGAUUGUAUAGUGGCAAGUGCGAGGUGAAUGUAAAUUUCAGGUCAGUGCUGGAACGCUGCUUCUGUUUUUGACGUAGUAAUUAGCUGAUGUUGAAUGCACUGCUCGGACCUUCGUACACCUGUCCUGCCACAGGUUUACAAUUCGGCUUCCCUGGCCCUCAGAUCACCACACCAGCAUUUAUAGGGUAAAAUAGGAGGCCCUGACUGGCCCAUGGGAAGAGGUCAAUAGAUGUUGCUGUACAUUAUUUUGUUUUUAAGAAAGGGCCCUUGGGGAAGGUGUGUGUUUGUGUAACCCUGCUGCCCUCUGAAUCUGAGGUAAAUCUGCACUAUUUUCGAAGAUCAAGGGACCUUUUUAUUAUUUUUUCCGGUUUUAUUUUUUAAAUGGAUUUUUCUGGCAUUUUAACUAUUUUUAUUAUUGUUUAGCCUACUUUUAAUUUUAUUACAAAAUUGCAGACCUGCCAACCUGCACGCAUUUUGCGUACCAACCACGCAAUUCUUGGUCAAAAAAAUUCCAGCUGAAACUACGAAAAAAAAAAUGAUUCGUGUAAUUUAAUUACGGAAAACAAUCAAUUAAUACAAAGCGAUACCGUAGAUUUAUUCGGUAUUUAAACUACAUCCCUCGGAUUGAACCAGAUGCUACGAAUUUGUGCUUGUGGUUCUGUAACCCCUCCCCGACCCACUCAACAUCCACUGAUACACAGCGGUACUUCAUUGCAUUGCUAAGGUAAAAUGGGAAGUGGGGAGUACUAAUCAAGCACAAAAAUGUGACCGUAAUGUUAACAUAUAAAACGUUAAAACAUGUUCGGUAACUUUACGAGAUGAUGCAUUUCAAGGGGUAUAUCCUAAUGGGAUAAAUUUGUGUAUACAGUUGGCCGUAGUAGUAGCUCACAUACGAUUUAGCCUCGUUACGAGACGUGUGAAUAACUGAUUGAGUAAUUUAGCUGCAGUAACUCAAACGGAGACUCCCUGUUCAAACUUUGAAUCGCGCAAAGUGGAGCAAAGUGACCAUUGCGAAGGUGUUUGACUAUAGAUUGCUGACGUAGCAAAUAAUUCCUAUUAUUGCAGCCAGUCACCCGACCAGCCUUGCAGUUAGAAAAUAAUCAUGACGUCAGAUGACGCGGAUACUAACAAGGAGAGAGAGAAAGCAUUGGACAUAUUUAUUGAUUUACUUCUGUUGCUGUCAAUGCUGUUAUUGUUAUAUAUUGUUACAUUUAUCAUUAUUAUUUUAAUAUUAUUAUUUUACAUAUUAUAUAUGAAUGCUUUGGCGAUAAUUACAUUUGUAUUUCAUGCCAAUAAAGCAACUUAAAUGGAAAAAUUGAAAUUGAGAGUAGCAGACCCACUAAAAAGAAGCCCAUGCCCCCCAGAAGUUCCUCACAAAAUAUCAGGAGCAAUGGCUGUGCCUCCGCCCCCCAAAACUGCCGCACCAUGCAUUUUGCAUUAUGAUUUUGACAUUAGCCACCAAGGAGCUUCAGGUAAUAAUUUAGCUAAACCUCUAGUUACAAAAGCCUACAUUCCUAGAUAAUUUUUGAAUACUUUUUUUUCAUUAGGCCUAUAUGAUGUGUGCCUAUAUAAGCUGAUUAAAUUAUUUAAUUAUUAAAUAAAAAUGGAAAUCAUGAAGAGAAACUUGGUUUUAUUCAUAAUUGACAGUGUUUUGCAUCACAAAAUAAGUUUUUGUAAAUACUUGAAAAUGAAAACAUGUUACAAUAUACAAAAUAAAUUAUUUCCAUUUUUAUUAAAUAAUUGAAUGCAAUUCACUUAUGGUUAUCAGUUUGUAUAAGCACACAUAUCAUAUAAUGAAAUAUUAAUCAUGAAAAAAAAUUGUUUUAAGCAGGUGUACUCAAACCUUUGACUUAAGUAAGUAUAUCAUACUAUAGCCCAGUGCAAGUGAUAUUUUAGGAUCAGGUCAAAUUAUACAAUUUUUCCUGAUCACUUCAACAGUCAAAACUAGAAUUAUGAAGAAAGGCUUGUAUGUGCGUGUGUGCGUGCAAAGCGAAGUGGUGCGAAAACAGGUGAACUAAGCGUUACACUGACUGUUGUGGUACUCAAAAUAUUUUCCUAAGGUUGGCAGGUCUUAAAUUGUAUUUUGAAAUGUGUUUGAGUGUUUUAAAUGUUUAAAUUUCUUAGUACAGUGUUAUUUUGUGCAGGGUGAUUUUAUGUUAUUUAUUAGUUUCCAUUGUUUUUGUCAGCAUUGGUUCCAGUAAAGGGGGGACACUAAACGAAGAACAGGCACACUUUUAGGGAUUUUGUAGUUUUUUGGAUGGGUCAUUAGAUUGACGUCCCCCGCUUCUCAGCUUCCUGUCUGCGAUUCCUCGCUACAUGUUGCACGCGUCCUGUCCGACUCACGUUUGCUGAGCCAAGCCUGCCCAUCGGAAAGAUUGGCAUCCUCCUUCCUUCCUUUCUUCUUUUGGCAGUGUGGGCGGGUUCUUUGCUGCUGCCCCGCCCUAUAAUGCCUCCAUCCCGGUUUUCGGCACAGCUGGCAUCAGGUUCCGGACGUCCACACCUUUGGGGUCCGUGUGAGAGGACGGACACUGAAGCCCCGCCUAUUUAAAAAAUUUAAUUCAAUGAAUUGCUGCAGUUAUGUCAGUCAUUCAUUUAUCACCACCAGGUCUGUGAAAGAGACUGACGACAGUGUGUAUGUUCGUUAACAUUUGUCGUGUUUGAUUCAGUGAAGCGUACUAGACCGUGCCAUCAAUUUGGAAUAACAAUGGCUGAAAUGAUGUGACAAUCGCUGCUCAUGUUGGCAGGCUAGUAACUGUAGAGUAUCUAUGUUCCCAGGGUCCUAUGUUCCCAAGGUCCUAUGUUCCCCAGUUCAGUAUUCUGUUAACACACAUUAACCCUCCUAUUGUGUUCAGGUCAUAUUUCAUAAAUAUUAUCCUGGGGACCUUGGGAACAUAGGACCCUGGGAGAGCACACACGUAGAGCUGGGGAACAUAGGACCCUGGGAACAUAGGACCCUUUGUCAUGUGCCAUAUAAAUCUGGGGAACAUAGGACCCUUUAUGUUCCCAUUAUGUGCCAUAUAAAUCUGGGGAACAUAGGAAUGACCCCGUGUGUGAGAGCUGGUGAGGCGCUCGUCAUUAGACUGUCCCUGAAAGGGAGCAUGUAUGAGACUAAACCAUGUUCGUAAUAUUGACUUUUCAUUCGUACUUACUAACCAGCCUUUCUGAAAUUAGUGUGUGAAUCUAGGACCGUGUUCAUUUAAAUAUGGGGCCAUCGGUUGAGCAGGAUUAUGUGAAUGAGUUUCAGCUAGUGGAAAUGCAAGGUGGGUGAAUAACUGGUUUUUAGUUGCACAGACUCUUUCUUCGGUUUCCUGGGCAAUAGGCCCAUAUGAACACCGAAUAACAAGUGGACGAAGCGAAUGAAUUUUGUUACAUCUACUUCUCUGUAUUUUCUCGCUAGAAUGCUUUUGAGGUAGUUUUGGCUUUGUCGAUACUUGAACUAUUUUGUGAUGACAUUACAUAAAAGGAUAGAUAAUCGUUUGAGUUAAAGUUUACAUUGUUCCAAAAGAAUUGAUUUCCUCAUUUUUAUUUUUGGUAAAAUAAAAUUUUACUGACAAAAAAGUGUUUCCUCUUUCCAUUACAUAUUUUAAGAAUUAAAACAGGAUGAUUAUUGCCACAAUGGUCAUAUUCACAUGAAAAAAGGCUAACUAGGUGAAAAUACAUUUUGCUGUUCCGUCCUUUAAAUAUGAAUGAAUUCUCUUUAACACAUACUUCCAGAUGCAGCUGAUCGUAGAUACAAUGCAUCAGUUGAAGCCAUAAAUGUUUAAGCGUAUCGGCUAGUAUCCUGUUUUCGAUAUUUUUGCUCCAACAAGCCAGGACUUGAUCAAUAAGAUACAGCAUCAAGUUAUAUUUGUUUGGUAGAAAGGUCCAUUUUGCACUCCGGAAAAAAAAUAAAGACAAAAUUGAAGACUUGACUUUGAAAUCAUGGGAAGUAGGCCAUCUGAAUAUUUCCUGAACUCCAGGACAACAUUUCAAAAGAUUGUGAGAGCCGUUUGAACUGUCCUUAGCUCUGGCUGUAAUGUUUUGUAAAUGCUACUCUUAUGAUCUUAUUGAAUGGAAUAUAAUUGGUUUUGGACUGAGAUAAGAACAGAACAGACUGUAAUAGCAUGCAAUGCAUGUAAUAACACAACACACAAACACUCAUUCAGGUUUGCACAUACGGCACCCACACAGUGCAGCAUUGGCAGGUUACAUGAUAUUUUGAAAGAACUACAACCAGGCUUCAUUUUUAAAAUAAGAAAUAAAACAAAAUCAGACCUACGAUUUUUUGGCGUGACAAUUUUCAACAAUCAAAAAAAUUAUUUUUGUAAAUAAAACCAUGACAAGAGAGGCCAAUUCCCCAAAUCAUUUAUUGAAAAACCAGCAGUCACUGGCCUGUUAUUUUUCCUUGGCGAAAAAAAAAAAGAACCCUGGCAAACUGAGGAGCUGCGUGUGCUGUGCACGUUACCAUGGCGACGAGGCGGAAGCGAGCCAGCACUCCAGGCCGAGCGCAGAGCGGCAAGGCGACUCGGCGUUUAAAUACUGCGUGUAAACAGACGGGGGGCGGAGGACAGACGCACGGACAGAUGAGGGACGCUCAGGAAAAGCCGACUAACAGAACAGUCUGGGGGAGAAGGGGAGGGGCAUCUUUUCCACUUCUGUAAAUGCUUCAGCUCGUGUAUUCUUUUCUCUUCCUCUGAAGACAAUGAAUGACGAACGGGGGGAGGGGA